rnacentral:tRNA from 1 species
AUAAUUCAGACAAAAAUGGCCUUCUAAGCCGUAGGUCAUAGGUUCGAGUCCUAUCGGGCGCGCCA